rnacentral:rRNA from 1 species
GGUGGAGCGAUUUGUCUGGUUAAUUCCGAUAACGAACGAGACUCUGGCCUAUUAAAUAGACGGUAUAUCGAAAAGUAUAUCGCGCUUCUUAGAGGGACAAGCGGCGUCUAGCCGCAUGAAAUAGAGCAAUAACAGGUCUGUGAUGCCCUUAGAUGUCCGGGGCUGCACGCGCGCUACACUGAAAGAAUCAGCGUGCGCUUCCUGACUGGUUCGGAAGAAUCGGUUAACCCAAGUAAAUUCUUUCGUGCUUGGGAUAGGGAAUUGCAAUUAUUUCCCUUAAACGAGGAAUUCCCAGUAAAUGCGGGUCAUAAGCUCGCGUUGAU